GACGAACGCUGGCGGCGUGCUUAACACAUGCAAGUCGAACGGAAAGGCCCUGCUUUUGUGGGGUGCUCGAGUGGCGAACGGGUGAGUAACACGUGAGUAACCUGCCCUUGACUUUGGGAUAACUUCAGGAAACUGGGGCUAAUACCGGAUAGGAGCUCCUGCUGCAUGGUGGGGGUUGGAAAGUUUCGGCGGUUGGGGAUGGACUCGCGGCUUAUCAGCUUGUUGGUGGGGUAGUGGCUUACCAAGGCUUUGACGGGUAGCCGGCCUGAGAGGGUGACCGGCCACAAUGGGACUGAGAUACGGACCAGACUGCUACGGGAGGCAGCAGUGGGGAAUAUUGCACAAUGGGCGGAAGCCUGAUGCAGCAACGCCGCGUGCGGGAUGACGGCCUUCGGGUUGUGAACCGCUUUCGCCUGUGACGAAGCGUGAGUGACGGUAAUGGGUAAAGAAGCACCGGCUAACUACGUG
rnacentral:rRNA from 1 species